CCGGCGACCGGCGCACGGGUGCGUAACGCGUAUGCAACCUACCCAUUACAGGGGGAUAACACUGAGAAAUCGGUACUAAUACCCCAUAACAUCCAGGGAGGCAUCUUCUUGGGUUGAAAACUCCGGUGGUAAUGGAUGGGCAUGCGUUGUAUUAGUUAGUUGGUGGGGUAACGGCUCACCAAGACAACGAUACAUAGGGGGACUGAGAGGUUAACCCCCCACAUUGGUACUGAGACACGGACCAAACUCCUACGGGAGGCAGCAG
rnacentral:rRNA from 1 species